AUGCAGCAGCCUCCAACAUGGCCACCAUGAGGGGUGGGGAGGACCAGAAAGGGCCGAAGAAUGCCUGAACAGGGUGAUUUUUGCCACAAGGGAAGGCCGGCAGGAGGAGGGAGAAUCUCUGUGGGGACCCCCCCCCCCCACAGCCUUGGAGAAGCCCCCUGGAGCAGGCCAUGCUUGAACCACCUUUGAAAUCAUCAUCCAGUGCAGAAUUACACACGCCUAAGGAUACAAGGUUUUACUGGCUGCAGAAAUCUGAAGACUCGCAGACAAGAUCUGAGUGGGCCCUCUGAACCUGGCCAUGCAAACGUUCUCAUGCUGCCUCUGACCUUAGGCAUUGAUGCUGCACCUGCAGCUUAUAUUCAUCUAAAUAUCCAACUAUCAGAUCAUCUCCCAAUGACAUGAUUCAAAGAAGCUGCUAUGUCAAAACAGAAAAGAUUAAGGAAUGAACACGGAAGAUGCAAAU